AUGCUGACAUAAGUAACGAUAAAGCGGGUGAAAAGCCCGCUCGCCGGAAGACCAAGGGUUCCUGUCCAACGUUAAUCGGGGCAGGGUGAGUCGACCCCUAAGGCGAGGCCGAAAGGCGUAGUCGAUGGGAAACAGGUUAAUAUUCCUGUACUUGGUGUUACUGCGAAGGGGGGACGGAGAAGGCUAUGUUGGCCGGGCGACGGUUGUCCCGGUUUAAGCGUGUAGGCUGGUUUUCCAGGCAAAUCCGGAAAAUCAAGGCUGAGGCGUGAUGACGAGGCACUACGGUGCUGAAGCAACAAAUGCCCUGCUUCCAGGAAAAGCCUCUAAGCAUCAGGUAACAUCAAAUCGUACCCCAAACCGACACAGGUGGUCAGGUAGAGAAUACCAAGGCGCUUGAGAGAACUCGGGUGAAGGAACUAGGCAAAAUGGUGCCGUAACUUCGGGAGAAGGCACGCUGAUAUGUAGGUGAAGUCCCUCGCGGAUGGAGCUGAAAUCAGUCGAAGAUACCAGCUGGCUGCAACUGUUUAUUAAAAACACAGCACUGUGCAAACACGAAAGUGGACGUAUACGGUGUGACGCCUGCCCGGUGCCGGAAGGUUAAUUGAUGGGGUUAGCGCAAGCGAAGCUCUUGAUCGAAGCCCCGGUAAACGGCGGCCGUAACUAUAACGGUCCUAAGGUAGCGAAAUUCCUUGUCGGGUAAGUUCCGACCUGCACGAAUGGCGUAAUGAUGGCCAGGCUGUCUCCACCCGAGACUCAGUGAAAUUGAACUCGCUGUGAAGAUGCAGUGUACCCGCGGCAAGACGGAAAGACCCCGUGAACCUUUACUAUAGCUUGACACUGAACAUUGAGCCUUGAUGUGUAGGAUAGGUGGGAGGCUUUGAAGUGUGGACGCCAGUCUGCAUGGAGCCGACCUUGAAAUACCACCCUUUAAUGUUUGAUGUUCUAACGUGGACCCGUAAUCCGGGUUGCGGACAGUGUCUGGUGGGUAGUUUGACUGGGGCGGUCUCCUCCUAAAGAGUAACGGAGGAGCACGAAGGUUGGCUAAUCCUGGUCGGACAUCAGGAGGUUAGUGCAAUGGCAUAAGCCAGCUUGACUGCGAGCGUGACGGCGCGAGCAGGUGCGAAAGCAGGUCAUAGUGAUCCGGUGGUUCUGAAUGGAAGGGCCAUCGCUCAACGGAUAAAAGGUACUCCGGGGAUAACAGGCUGAUACCGCCCAAGAGUUCAUAUCGACGGCGGUGUUUGGCACCUCGAUGUCGGCUCAUCACAUCCUGGGGCUGAAGUAGGUCCCAAGGGUAUGGCUGUUCGCCAUUUAAAGUGGUACGCGAGCUGGGUUUAGAACGUCGUGAGACAGUUCGGUCCCUA
rnacentral:rRNA from 1 species